rnacentral:rRNA from 1 species
UACAGAGGGUGCGAGCGUUAAUCGGAAUUACUGGGCGUAAAGCGCGCGUAGGCGGCUUUGCAAGUCGGGUGUGAAAUCCCCAGGCUUAACCUGGGAACUGCAUUCGAGACUGCAUUGCUAGAGUAUAGGAGAGGGUAGUGGAAUUCCCGGUGUAGUGGUGGAAUGCGUAGAUAUCGGGAGGAACACCAGUGGCGAAGGCGACUACCUGGCCUGUUCUUGACGCUGAGGCGCGAAAGCUAGGGGAGCAAACGGG